rnacentral:rRNA from 1 species
AUACAAUGGAGAGUUUGAUCCUGGCUCAGGAUGAACGCUAGCGGGAGGCCUAACACAUGCAAGCCGAGCGGUAUUUGUUCUUCGGAACAGAGAGAGCGGCGUACGGGUGCGGAACACGUGUGCAACCUGCCUUUAUCAGGGGGAUAGCCUUUCGAAAGGAAGAUUAAUACCCCAUAAUAUAUUGAUUGGCAUCAAUUAAUAUUGAAAACUCCGGUGGAUAGAGAUGGGCACGCGCAAGAUUAGAUAGUUGGUGAGGUAACGGCUCACCAAGUCAGUGAUCUUUAGGGGGCCUGAGAGGGUGAUCCCCCACACUGGUACUGAGACACGGACCAGACUCCUACGGGAGGCAGCAGUGAGGAAUAUUGGACAAUGGGUGAGAGCCUGAUCCAGCCAUCCCGCGUGAAGGACGACGGUUCUAUGGAUUGUAAACUUCUUUUAUACUGGGAUAAACCUACCCUCGUGAGGGUAGCUGAAGGUACAGUAUGAAUAAGCACCGGCUAACUCCGUGCCAGCAGCCGCGGUAAUACGGAGGGUGCAAGCGUUAUCCGGAUUUAUUGGGUUUAAAGGGUCCGUAGGCGGAUCUGUAAGUCAGUGGUGAAAUCUCAUAGCUUAACUAUGAAACUGCCAUUGAUACUGCAGGUCUUGAGUAAAGUAGAAGUGGCUGGAAUAAGUAGUGUAGCGGUGAAAUGCAUAGAUAUUACUUAGAACACCAAUUGCGAAGGCAGGUCACUAUGUUUUAACUGACGCUGAUGGACGAAAGCGUGGGGAGCGAACAGGAUUAGAUACCCUGGUAGUCCACGCCGUAAACGAUGCUAACUCGUUUUUGGGUUUUCGGAUUCAGAGACUAAGCGAAAGUGAUAAGUUAGCCACCUGGGGAGUACGUUCGCAAGAAUGAAACUCAAAGGAAUUGACGGGGGCCCGCACAAGCGGUGGAUUAUGUGGUUUAAUUCGAUGAUACGCGAGGAACCUUACCAAGGCUUAAAUGGGAAUUGACAGGUUUAGAAAUAGACUUUUCUUCGGACAAUUUUCAAGGUGCUGCAUGGUUGUCGUCAGCUCGUGCCGUGAGGUGUUAGGUUAAGUCCUGCAACGAGCGCAACCCCUGUCACUAGUUGCCAUCAUUCAGUUGGGGACUCUAGUGAGACUGCCUACGCAAGUAGAGAGGAAGGUGGGGAUGACGUCAAAUCAUCACGGCCCUUACGCCUUGGGCCACACACGUAAUACAAUGGCCAGUACAGAGGGCAGCUACCAGGCGACUGGAUGCGAAUCUCGAAAGCUGGUCUCAGUUCGGAUUGGAGUCUGCAACUCGACUCUAUGAAGCUGGAAUCGCUAGUAAUCGCGCAUCAGCCAUGGCGCGGUGAAUACGUUCCCGGGCCUUGUACACACCGCCCGUCAAGCCAUGGAAGUCUGGGGUACCUGAAGUCGGUGACCGUAACAGGAGCUGCCUAGGGUAAAACAGGUAACUAGGGCUAAGUCGUAACAAGGUAGCCGUACCGGAAGGUGCGGCUGGAACAUCUCAUUUU